AAUCAAUCAAUCAAAUUGUUUUUAUAUAGAGCCAAAUCAUAACCAAAGUUAGCUCAUUACACUUUACAUAUAGAGUUGUCAAACUCAGACUCUCA